rnacentral:rRNA from 1 species
CUCGUAGGCGGCCAACUAAGUCAGACGUGAAAUCCCCAGGCUCAACCUGGGAACUGCGUCUGAUACUGGAUGGCUUGAAUCCGGGAGAGGGAUGCAGAAUUCCAGGUGUAGCGGUGAAAUGCGUAGAUAUCUGGAGGAAUACCGGUGGCGAAGGCGGCAUCCUGGACCGGCAUUGACGCUGAGGAGCGAAAGCUAGGGGAGCAAACG